UUAUAAGGGAUGGCUAUCAUGUUUAUAUCAAAGAGUCUAACAUAACAAGACUAAGGAAGUAUCAAGGUGAACUAUCCUAGUCCAGCCAUAUUCCUCAAACGUCAAUACUAUACCAUAUAUCCCAGGUCAAUAUACGAAUGAAGAGUGAAAGAAAGAUAUAUAGAAAUAUACAAGGUCAAGAAAUGAAUAUAUAAUAUAAACAAGCGAAGGAAGGGAUAUACAGUAGUGUCAUAGCUUCAUAUUGCUAAAUACAUAUAUAUACAUACACGUAAAUAUUUGG
rnacentral:lncRNA from 1 species